rnacentral:lncRNA from 1 species
AAGCCAGCGAUAUACUGCUUUACAAGAGAGGCUCCUAAAACAAAAUGACACAGAAAAGUUGAAAAUAAAAGAUUGGAAAGAAAUAAAUGAGGCAAAUACAUAUUGACCCAAAGAAAAUUGAAUAGCAAUCUUAAUCAGAUAAAAUAGAACCUAAGGCAAAAAUCACAUUCCUAAAUUACCAUCUGGCAGUGGUGUGGUUUUUUUCCAUAGAGAAUCCCACGGUGGGAAAAAAGAAGACAGCAAAACAGACAACCUUAAAUUCUAGUUUCUUGGAAAAAAUAACACAGCUCCUGAAAAUAGCCUUAGAUUUCAGGGUUGUGAAACUACCUCAGUCGCUAUAGGAAUUACAAAAAUGUCAAGAUGGCAUACGCUAUAAUGCUAUAGCUAUUAACAUAAUUUUAUAUAAUUUAAACAUUAUGCUUUUCAUUUUAACUUACUCUAAAAGGUACUGUAAUGAAAAAAAUUGGGGUUGUAUUUAUGUUAAUUUAAACAUUCCAAGCUCUU